GGGCCCGCACAAGCGGUGGAGCAUGUGGUUUAAUUCGAUGAUACGCGAGGAACCUUACCAGGGCUUAAAUGUUAGGUGACAGAUCUAGAAUAGAUUUUUCUUCGGACACUUAACAAGGUGCUGCAUGGUUGUCGUCAGCUCGUGCCGUGAGGUGUCAGGUUAAGUCCUAUAACGAGCGCAACCCCUGUUGUUAGUUGCCAGCGAGUAAUGUCGGGAACUCUAGCAAGACUGCCAGUGCAAAACUGUGAGGAAAGGUGGGAUGACGUCAAAUCAUCACGGCCCUUACGUCCUGGGCUACACACGUGCUACAAUGGUAGGUACAGAGAGCAGCCAAUGCGCGAGCAUGAGC
rnacentral:rRNA from 1 species